rnacentral:rRNA from 1 species
UACAGAGGGUGCAAACGUUGCUCGGAAUCAUUGGGCGUAAAGCGCACGUAGGCGGCCCAGCAAGUGGGGAGUGAAAGCCCUCGGCUUAACCGAGGAAGUGCUUUCCAAACUACUGGGCUUGAAUACUGGAGAGGGUCGCGGAAUUCCCGGUGUAGAGGUGAAAUUCGUAGAUAUCGGGAGGAACACCAGUGGCGAAGGCGACGUCCUGGACCGGCAUUGACGCUGAGGCGCGAAAGCCAGGGGAGCAAACGGG